rnacentral:rRNA from 1 species
AUUGAACGCUGGCGGCAUGCUUUACACAUGCAAGUCGAACGGUAACAGGUUAAGCUGACGAGUGGCGAACGGGUGAGUAAUGCAUCGGAACGUGCCCGAUCGUGGGGGAUAACGCAGCGAAAGCUGCGCUAAUACCGCAUACGAUCUGAGGAUGAAAGCGGGGGACCGUAAGGCCUCGCGCGAUCGGAGCGGCCGAUGUCAGAUUAGGUAGUUGGUGGGGUAAAGGCUCACCAAGCCAACGAUCUGCAGCUGGUCUGAGAGGACGACCAGCCACCCUGGGACUGGGACACGGCCCAGACUCCUACGGGGGGCAGAAGUGGGGAAUUUUGGACAAUGGGCGAAAGCCUGAUCCAGCAAUGCCGCGUGCAGGAAGAAGGCCUUCGGGUUGUAAACUGCUUUUGUACGGAGCGAAUAGGCUCUCUCUAAUACAGGGGGCUCAUGACGGUACCGUAAGAAUAAGCACCGGCUAACUACGUGCCAGCAGCCGCCGUAA